AUUGAACGCUGGCGGCAGGCCUAACACAUGCAAGUCGAACGAGUGGCGGACGGGUGAGUAAUGUCUGGGAAACUGCCUUAUGGAGGGGGAUAACUACUGGAAACGGUAGCUAAUCCUGCAUACCAUCAGAUGUGCCCAGAUGGGAUUAGCUUGUUGGUGGGGUAACGACUCACCAAGGCGACGAGCCCUAGAUGGUCUGAGAGGAGGACCAGCCACACGGCAACUGAGACACGGUCCAGACACCUACGGGAGGCAGGAGUGGGGAAUAUUGCACAAUGGGCGCAAGCCUGAUGCAGCCAUGCCGCGUGUAUGAAGAAGGCCUUCGGGUUGUAAAGUACUUUAAGCGGGGAGGCGUUACCCGCAGAAGAAGCACCGGUUAACUCCGUGCCAGCAGCCGAGGUAAUUC
rnacentral:rRNA from 1 species